AGAGUUUGAUCAUGGCUCAGGAUGAACGCUAGCGGCAGGCUUAAUACAUGCAAGUCGUGGGGCAGCAUGGGGUAGCAAUACUCUGAUGGCGACCGGCAAACGGGUGCGGAACACGUACGCAACCUUCCUUUAACUGGAGAAUAGCCCCUCGAAAGAGGGAUUAAUACUCCGUAGCAUGAUGAUAAGGCAUCUUAUUAUUAUUAUAGCUCCGGCGGUUAGAGAUGGGCGUGCGCCUGAUUAGGUAGUUGGCGGGGUAAUGGCCCACCAAGCCUGCGAUCAGUAACUGGUGUGAGAGCACGACCAGUCACACGGGCACUGAGACACGGGCCCGACUCCUACGGGAGGCAGCAGUAAGGAAUAUUGGUCAAUGGACGCAAGUCUGAACCAGCCAUGCCGCGUGGAGGAUUAAGGCCCUCUGGGUUGUAAACUCCUUUUAUCUGGGAAGAAAUCCAUAUAUUCUUAUGUGGUUGACGGUACCAGAGGAAUAAGCACCGGCUAACUCCGUGCCAGCAGCCGCGGUAAUACGGAGGGUGCAAGCGUUAUCCGGAUUCACUGGGUUUAAAGGGUGCGUAGGCGGGUAAGUAAGUCCGUGGUGAAAUCUCUGAGCUUAACUCAGAAACUGCCGUGGAUACUAUUUGCCUUGAAUAUUGUGGAGGUGAGCGGAAUAUGUCAUGUAGCGGUGAAAUGCUUAGAUAUGACAUAGAACACCAAUUGCGAAGGCAGCUCACUACACAAUCAUUGACGCUGAGGCACGAAAGCGUGGGGAUCAAACAGGAUUAGAUACCCUAGUAGUCC
rnacentral:rRNA from 1 species